AAGAGAGGAGGGAUUUUUUUCUUUCUUCUCCUAAGAUCUACAUCUAGUAGCAAAAGACAAAGGAAUAACAUCAAUUUUUUCUUCUAAAACAAUUCCAGCAACUUUACCCAUUCUUCUCCACCUCAAAACAAUCCUUUUUUGUUUUUUACAUAAAACAACCCAUUUAAUAUCUGCAACUAUCGCCCAACUCAAUCAAUUUUAAUCCUUCAAGGAUGUUGAUUCCGGUUCGGGUUUUCGGGUCUAUAGCUCGACUGAAGAUUGCUGUGUGUGGAGUUUCCCUUUCUCUGUAAUCGUUUGCAAUUUCAAGCAAUAAAGAUCCAGGUACUUCCGGAUACGACGACUGCUAGAUCUCCAGAGUUGUAUAUGUUGGAGACUAUCGAGGUAGCUGCCUUGGCAUCCGCAAACCUUGACUCUCUUUGCUUUUGGUUAUUUCUACUGUUCUACAUUUCUAGACAGUAUUUUUAUCAGUCUUACUAUAUUGUCAUUUAGAUGCUCAUGUACUCAGUGACACUCGAGUUUUGAGAAUGUAAUGUAUUGAGUCACGAUAUUUUGUAUCAGUAUUUAUGAGAUUUCACUCUUAAGUUUAAA